rnacentral:snRNA from 1 species
UGAAACAAUCCCAAAAUCAUUCUCAGGAAAUUGGAACGAUACAGAGAAGAUUAGCAUGGCUCCCUGUGUAAGGAUGACAUCACUAUCUUGAAAGGAUUACCCGCAGGUCGGGACUCAUUUUUU